CCUACGCGAGGCAGCAGUGAGGAAUAUUGGUCAAUGGACGGAAGUCUGAACCAGCCAUGCCGCGUGCAGGAAGACGGCUCUAUGAGUUGUAAACUGCUUUUGUACAAGGGUAAACCUGAAGACGUGUAUUCAGCUGAAAGUACUGUACGAAUAAGGAUCGGCUAACUCCGUUCCAGCAGCCGCGGUAAUACGGAGGAUCCAAGCGUUAUCCGGAUUUAUUGGGUUUAAAGGGUGCGUAGGCGGGUUGAUAAGUUAGAGGUGAAAAGGUCGAGCUUAACUCGGGAACUGCCUCUAAUACUGUUGAUCUGGAGAGUAGAUGCGGUAGGCGGAAUGUAUGGUGUAGCGGUGAAAUGCUUAGAGAUCAUACAGAACACCGAUUGCGAAGGCAGCUUACCAAUCUAUAUCUGACGUUGAGGCACGAAAGCGUGGGGAGCAAACAGGAUUAGAUACCCCUGUAGUC
rnacentral:rRNA from 1 species